UGGUGAGGUAAUGGCUCACCAAGGCGACGAUCCCUAGCUGGUCUGAGAGGAUGAUCAGCCACACUGGAACUGAGACACGGUCCAGACUCCUACGGGAGGCAGCAGUGGGGAAUAUUGCACAAUGGGCGCAAGCCUGAUGCAGCCAUGCCGCGUGUAUGAAGAAGGCCUUCGGGUUGUAAAGUACUUUCAGCAGUGAGGAAGGUAUCGUAGUUAAUAGCUGCAGUAUUUGACGUUAACUGCAGAAGAAGCACCGGCUAACUCCGUGCCAGCAGCCGCGGUAAUACGGAGGGUGCGAGCGUUAAUCGGAAUUACUGGGCGUAAAGCGCAUGCAGGUGGUUUGUUAAGUCAGAUGUGAAAGCCCGGGGCUCAACCUCGGAAUAGCAUUUGAAACUGGCAGACUAGAGUACUGUAGAGGGGGGUAGAAUUUCAGGUGUAGCGGUGAAAUGCGUAGAGAUCUGAAGG
rnacentral:rRNA from 1 species